rnacentral:tRNA from 1 species
GCCCCUGUAGCUCAGACGGUAGAGCGCCUCACUUGUAAUGAGGAUGUCGCGGGUUCGAUUCCUGUCGGGGGCUCCA